rnacentral:rRNA from 1 species
CGAUGCAGCGACGCCGCGUGAGGGAUGACGGCCUUCGGGUUGUAAAUCUCUUUCAGCAGGGACGAAGCGCAAGUGACGGUACCUGCAGAAGAAGCGCCGGCCAACUACGUGCCAGCAGCCGCGGUAAGACGUAGGGCGCGAGCGUUGUCCGGAUUUAUUGGGCGUAAAGAGCUCGUAGGCGGCUUGUCGCGUCGACUGUGAAAACCCGCGGCUCAACCGCGGGCCUGCAGCCGAUACGGGCAGGCUAGAGUUCGGUAGGGGAGACUGGAAUUCCUGGUGUAGCGGUGAAAUGCGCAGAUAUCAGGAGGAACACCGGUGGCGAAGGCGGGUCUCUGGGCCGAUACUGACGCUGAGGAGCGAAAGCGUGGGGAGCGAACAGGAUUAGAUACCCUGGUAGUCCACGCUGUAAACGUUGGGCGCUAGGUGUGGGGGACCUCUCCGGUUCUCUGUGCCGCAGCUAACGCAUUAAGCGCCCCGCCUGGGGAGUACGGCCGCAAGGCUA